GUGAAUCAUCGAAUUUUUGAACGCAAAUUGCGCUUCCUAGCAUUCCGGGAAGUAUGCCUGUUUGAGGGUCAUUAUUAACAAAAAAAUCGGUUUGGUUGCAAAUUGUUGCGUUUCCGGAUGUUGUGCCAUCUUAACUUUUUUGGGUAAGUGGGUUAAAAUUGAGCUUUGUUGCGCAUUUUUAGACGAACAUAA
rnacentral:misc_RNA from 1 species